UCCGUUUGCCCAGCUGAAAGCUCGGUUUUGGCUGAGGGGAGCCACUUCUCUGGACGAGAAAGGCAGCUGAGGCAGAGGAUUGGUUACGGACUUGCGCACAGCCCUGUGGAAAACGGGCAAGACMCUCUCCAUGGAUGGGACAAAACCCACUGAGCUCAAGUCCAGUCCUGGCUUUUGGCCUUUAUAGCCCGCGGGAUGAAGAUGGGCACAAGCUCUGGAGAUAUGCUGGUGCGAGGCCUGAUGAUGUUCCUAAUCAGCUUUAUUUGACCCUCGGCAGCUACGCUGGCUGAAGCAGGUGGGAUGCUUGUCUGGUGCGUGGGGUGCGCAUGGUGUGGAGCUGGCUUGCUGCCAUUUGCUGUCGGCAGACAACUUUUUCUACAGUCUGCAGCAAAGCUGAGCCCGCGUUGGCAGAGCGGGGUGUCUGCAUGCACGCGUGCCGCAACGGCGGCUGCAGGAGGAAUAAGCUGGAAAGCUGCUGCUUUGGCAACACGGAUUCUGGCUCUCAGGCCCAGGAGAAAAUGCAGUGGGAGAGAUUAGCUGCUCUUCGCACUCUUACAACUCCUUUUCCAAGAAGACACUCCCUUGCCAAGGCUAAUAAGUGAAUCCUGGUGCAACCUCAGGACAAGUAAUUAUCAUCAUUGUCAUAUUAGGCCCCAAAACCCAGAGUCCUGCCCUAGAUGGUUCUCCUGCUAAUGACUAGGAAAAUGCCAGACGUAAGGAAAUCGGGCCGCGGAGAGCGAAGCGCCUGGCGUUCCUCCUGGGAUCCUCUCCCGUUGGUCAGAAGUGGAUCUUCCUUGUCCUGCAGCGAUGAAGCCGGUGAGUCUGGCAGUCGCUGCUGGUGUUGACGCUGCAUGUUUGGCCUAGAUCUAGGACUGGACUUGAUCUUGCUUGUUUAGUCUGUGUGUUUUUACAGCAUUGCGAGCCUGGGAGGCUUGGAGACAAGCUGAUCCRAGCCCUGAUACCCACCAGGGCAUGGGAAGGGGUGGAAGAGGCAGCUUUCUCACCACCACCUCCUGCCUGUUUGCAGCUCUGC
ensembl:lncRNA